UACGGAGGAUGCGAGCGUUAUCCGGAUUUAUUGGGUUUAAAGGGUGCGUAGGCGGCGAUGCAAGUCAGAAGUGAAAGCCCGGGGCUCAACCCCGGGACUGCAUUUGGAACUGUGUAGCUGGAGUGUCGGAGAGGCAGGCGGAAUUCCUAGUGUAGCGGUGAAAUGCGUAGAUAUUAGGAGGAACACCAGUGGCGAAGGCGGCUUACUGGACUGUAACUGACGUUGAGGCUCGAAAGCGUGGGGAGCAAACAGG
rnacentral:rRNA from 1 species